AAAUUGAAGAGUUUGAUCAUGGCUCAGAUUGAACGCUGGCGGCAGGCCUAACACAUGCAAGUCGAACGGUAACAGGAAGCAGCUUGCUGCUUCGCUGACGAGUGGCGGACGGGUGAGUAAUGUCUGGGAAACUGCCUGAUGGAGGGGGAUAACUACUGGAAACGGUGGCUAAUACCGCAUAACGUCGCAAGACCAAAGAGGGGGACCUUCGGGCCUCUUGCCAUCAGAUGUGCCCAGAUGGGAUUAGCUAGUUGGUGAGGUAACGGCUCACCAAGGCGACGAUCCCUAGCUGGUCUGAGAGGAUGACCAGCCACACUGGAACUGAGACACGGUCCAGACUCCUACGGGAGGCAGCAGUGGGGAAUAUUGCACAAUGGGCGCAAGCCUGAUGCAGCCAUGCCGCGUGUAUGAAGAAGGCCUUCGGGUUGUAAAGUACUUUCAGCGGGGAGGAAGGUGUUGUGGUUAAUAACCGCAGCAAUUGACGUUACCCGCAGAAGAAGCACCGGCUAACUCCGUGCCAGCAGCCGCGGUAAUACGGAGGGUGCAAGCGUUAAUCGGAAUUACUGGGCGUAAAGCGCACGCAGGCGGUCUGUCAAGUC
rnacentral:rRNA from 3 species